UUAAGCACGAUGAAGAAGAAGAGUAGUAAUAAGUGUUUUUCAGAGAGGUUGUGGUAGGUGCAAACAACUAAAGACUUAUUAUGAAUGGAGCUUUAGAGUGCUGUUAAUUAUACUAGUUGCUAAUUACUAGUUAGAGGAGGGCUAAUUGCCAAAAAGGGUGGAACCGCGGAAACAUAAAUUCCGUCCCUUUG
rnacentral:ncRNA from 1 species